UUUCCGUAGGUGAACCUGCGGAAGGAUCAUUACUGAAUAAGGGCCGCUCGGGGUCCAACCUCCCACCCGUGGUUAGCGAACCUUGUUGCGUCGGCGGGCACACCUCUCGGACGCCGAGGUGCAUUACCGCCCGGGCCCCCCCCUGCCGCAUCCGCCGGUGGGCGCAGUCUGAAAUACGCAGUCUGAAAGAAUUAUAGAAUUAAUUAAAACUUUCAACAACCGAGCUCUUGGUUCAGCCAUCGAUAAAGAACGCAGCGGAUCGGAAAAGGACACGGCUGG
rnacentral:misc_RNA from 1 species